rnacentral:rRNA from 1 species
CCCUUAGAUGUUCUGGGCGGCCCGCGCACUACAAUGGCGUGUGCAGCGAGUGCCGAAGUAGAGUUUUCCGAGGUAUUCUUGCAAUGCUCGUUUUGAUGGGGAUAGACCCUUGCAACUGCUGGUUUUGAACGAGGAAUUCCUUGUAAGCAUGGUUUAUCAUCCGACGCUGAAUGCGUCCCUGCCCUUUGUACACACCGCCCGUCGCUCCUACCGAUGAGUCGUCCGGUGAAGUUCGUAGACCUCGUGAUCGCGGAUCACUGGGGGAAGCAAAAUGAACCUCGCGGUUUAGAGGAAGGAGAAGUCGUAACA